rnacentral:misc_RNA from 1 species
UUUCCGUAGGUGAACCUGCGGAAGGAUCAUUACUGAGUGAGGGCCCUCUGGGUCCAACCUCCCACCCGUGUUUAUUGUACCUUGUUGCUUCGGUGCGCCCGCUUCACGGCCGCCGGGGGGCUUCUGCCCCCGGGUCCGCGCGCACCGGCGACACCAUUGAACUCUGUCUGAAGAUGGCAGUCUGAGCAUAAACUAAAUAAGUUAAAACUUUCAACAACGGAUCUCUUGGUUCCG